rnacentral:rRNA from 1 species
AUUGAACGCUGGCGGCAGGCCUAACACAUGCAAGUCGAACGAGUGGCGGACGGGUGAGUAAUGUCUGGGAAACUGCCUGAUGGAGGGGGAUCACUACUGGAAACGGUAGCUAAUACCGCAUACCAUCAGAUGUGCCCAGAUGGGAUUGGCUAGUUGGGGGGGUAACGGCUCACCAAGGCGACGAUCCCUAGCUGCUCUGAGAGGGUGACCGGCCGUACUGGAACUGAGACACGGUCCAGCCUCCUAAGUGAGGCAGCAUUGGGGAAUAUUGGACACUGGUCGCAAGCCUGAUGCAGCCAUGCCGCGUGUAUGAAGAAGGCCUUCGGGUUGUAAAGUACUUUCAGCGGGGAGGCGUUACCCGCAGAAGAAGCACCGGCUAACUCCGUGCCAGCAGCCGCGGUAAUAC